rnacentral:rRNA from 1 species
UGGUUUGAUCCUGGCUCAGGAUUAACGCUGGCGGCGCGCCUUAUACAUGCAAGUCGAACGAGCCUUGUGCUUCGCACAAGGAAAUUCCAAGCACCAAGCACCAAAUCUCAAACAAAUCCCAAUGACCAAAAUUCCAAAAACCUAAACAUUUUAAAUGUUUAGAAUUUGGAAAAUUGGAAUUUGGAAUUUAUUUGUUAUUUGGAAUUUAUGAUUUGGGAUUUUCUCGCGCGGAGANCNUNAGUGGCGAACGGGUGAGUAAUACGUUGGUAUCUACCCCAAAGUAGAGAAUAAGCCCGAGAAAUCGGGGUUAAUACUCUAUGUGUUCGAAAGAACAAAGACUUCGGUUGCUUUGGGAAGAACCUGCGGCCUAUCAGCUUGUUGGUAAGGUAACGGCUUACCAAGGCUUUGACGGGUAGCUGGUCUGGGAAGACGACCAGCCACAAUGGGACUUAGACACGGCCCAUACUCCUACGGGAGGCAGCAGUAGGGAAUCUUCGGCAAUGCCCGAAAGGUGACCGAGCGACGCCGCGUAGAGGAAGAAGAUCUUUGGAUUGUAAACUCUUUUUCUCCUAGACAAAGUUCUGAUUGUAUAGGAGGAAUAAGGGGUUUCUAAACUCGUGCCAGCAGAAGCGGUAAUACGAGUGCCCCAAGCGUUAUCCGGAAUCAUUGGGCGUAGAGCGUUGUAUAGGUGGUUUAAAAAGUCCAAAAUUAAAUCUUUAGGCUCAACCUAAAAUCUGUUUUGGAAACUUUUAGACUUGAAUAAAAUCGACGSGAGUGGAACUUCCAGAGUAGGGGUUACAUCCGUUGAUACUGGAAGGAACGCCGAAGGCGAAAGCAACUCGCGAGAUUUUAUUGACGCCGCGUACACGAAAGCGUGGGGAGCGAAAAGUAUUAGAUACACUUGUAGUCCACGCCGUAAACUAUGGAUACUAGCAAUUUGAAGCUUCGACCCUUCAAGUUGCGGACUAACGCGUUAAGUAUCUCGCCUGGGAAGUACGGCCGCAAGGCUAAAACUCAAAGGAAUAGACGGGGGCCCGCACAAGCGGUGGAGCAUGUGGUUUAAUUCGACGAUAAGCGUGGAACCUUACCAGGGCUUAGACGUACAGAGAAUUCCUUGGAAACAAGGAAGUGCUUCGGGAACUCUGUACUCAGGUACUGCAUGGCUGUCGUCAGUAUGUACUGUGAAGCACUCCCUUAAUUGGGGCAACAUACGCAACCCCUAUCCUAAGUUAGAAAUGUCUUAGGAAACCGCUUCGAUUCAUCGGAGAGGAAGAUGGGGACGACGUCAAGUCAGCAUGGUCCUUGAUGUCCUGGGCGACACACGUGCUACAAUGGCUAGUAUAACGGGAUGCGUAGGUGCGAACCGAAGCUAAUCCUUAAAAAACUAGUCUAAGUUCGGAUUGAAGUCUGCAACUCGACUUCAUGAAGCCGGAAUCGCUAGUAACCGCAAAUCAGCCACGUUGCGGUGAAUACGUUCUCGGGCCUUGUACUCACUGCCCGUCACGUCAAAAAAGUCGGUAAUACCCGAAGCACCCUUUUAAAGGGUUCUAAGGUAGGACCGAUGAUUGGGACGAAGUCGUAACAAGGUAGCCG